rnacentral:rRNA from 1 species
GACGAACGCUGGCGGCGUGCUUAACACAUGCAAGUCGAACGGAAAGGCCCUGCUUUUGUGGGGUGCUCGAGUGGCGAACGGGUGAGUAACACGUGAGUAACCUGCCCUUGACUUUGGGAUAACUUCAGGAAACUGGGGCUAAUACCGGAUAGGAGCUCCUGCUGCAUGGUGGGGGUUGGAAAGUUUCGGCGGUUGGGGAUGGACUCGCGGCUUAUCAGCUUGUUGGUGGGGUAGUGGCUUACCAAGGCUUUGACGGGUAGCCGGCCUGAGAGGGUGACCGGCCACAUUGGGACUGAGAUACGGCCCAGACUCCUACGGGGGGCAGCAGUGGGUAAUAUUGCACAAUGGGCGGAAGCCUGAUGCAGCAACGCCGCGUGCGGGAUGACGGCCUUCGGGUUGUAAACCGCUUUCGCCUGUGACGAAGCGUGAGUGACGGUAAUGGGUAAAGAAGCACCGGCUAACUACGUG